rnacentral:rRNA from 1 species
GACGAACGCUGGCGGCGUGCCUAAUACAUGCAAGUCGAACGCUUUUUCUUUCACCGGAGCUUGCUCCACCGAAAGAAAAGGAGUGGCGAACGGGUGAGUAACACGUGGGUAACCUGCCCAUCAGAAGGGGAUAACACUUGGAAACAGGUGCUAAUACCGUAUAACAAUAGAAACCGCAUGGUUUCUAUUUGAAAGGCGCUUUUGCGUCACUGAUGGAUGGACCCGCGGUGCAUUAGCUAGUUGGUGAGGUAACGGCUCACCAAGGCAACGAUGCAUAGCCGACCUGAGAGGGUGAUCGGCCACAUUGGGACUGAGACACGGCCCAAACUCCCACGGGAGGCAGCAGUAGGGAAUCUUCGGCAAUGGACGAAAGUCUGACCGAGCAACGCCGCGUGAGUGAAGAAGGUUUUCGGAUCGUAAAACUCUGUUGUUAGAGAAGAACAAGGAUGAGAGUAAAAUGUUCAUCCCUUGACGGUAUCUAACCAGAAAGCCACGGCUAACUACGUGCCAGCAGCCGCGGUAAUACGUAGGUGGCAAGCGUUGUCCGGAUUUAUUGGGCGUAAAGCGAGCGCAGGCGGUUUCUUAAGUCUGAUGUGAAAGCCCCCGGCUCAACCGGGGAGGGUCAUUGGAAACUGGGAAACUUGAGUGCAGAAGAGGAGAGUGGAAUUCCAUGUGUAGCGGUGAAAUGCGUAGAUGUAUGGAGGAACACCAGUGGCGAAGGCGGCUCUCUGGUCUGUAACUGACGCUGAGGCUCGAAAGCGUGGGGAGCAAACAGG